rnacentral:snRNA from 1 species
CAAGUGAUAGCAGAAAUGAUACUGAAAAUUGGAACCACACAGAGAAAACGAGCAUGGCCCCUGUGCAAGGAUGACACAGACUUGUGAAGCAUUUAAUAUUUUG